rnacentral:rRNA from 1 species
UACGUAGGGGGCAAGCGUUGUCCGGAAUCAUUGGGCGUAAAGCGCGCGUAGGCGGCCCGGUACGUCCGCUCUGAAAGUCCAGGGCUUAACCCUGGAAAGCGGGUGGAUACUGCCGGGCUUGAAUCCGGAAGAGGCGAGUGGAAUUCCUGGUGUAGCGGUGGAAUGCGCAGAUAUCAGGAGGAACACCAAUAGCGAAGGCAGCUCGCUGGGACGGUAUUGACGCUAAGGCGCGAAAGCGUGGGGAGCAAACAGG